rnacentral:rRNA from 1 species
UACGGAGGGAGCUAGCGUUGUUCGGAAUCACUGGGCGUAAAGGGCGCGUAGGCGGCCUGAUAAGUAGGGGGUGAAAUCCUGAGGCUUAACCUCAGGGCUGCCUUCUAAACUGUCAGGCUCGAGCACAGUAGAGGCAGGUGGAAUUCCCGGUGUAGCGGUGGAAUGCGUAGAGAUCGGAAAGAACACCAAUGGCGAAAGCAACUCUGCUGGGCCGACACUGACACUGAGAGACGAAAGCUAGGGGGAGCAAAUGGG